GGUUAUGGCUCAGUGGUAGAGCGCUCACCUAGCACGUGUGAGGCCCUGGGUUCGAUCCCCAACACCA
rnacentral:tRNA from 1 species